rnacentral:sRNA from 1 species
ACAUCCUUUAAAUAUGGUCUUUCUUGGGCGCGCGCGACAAUGUGAGGAGUGGGGUGGAGCGUGUGUGGUGUGUGGCUGCGGCCUGGGCAAGAGCCGCCGCGGACCAUGAGUCUGCCUGGGGUCACAGGAGAAGUACUGAACAUGAGAGAUCAAGCCUGAUUUGUAGUCCUGAUGAUGUCUCUGAGUAAGUUCUGGAGGGAUCCUGCCUCUUGGAGCCUUCGCAGCCAGGCAGCUGUGAACUGUGAGCUAGAGUGAAGCAGAAAUCUAGGAAGAUGAGCUCCAAGAUGGUCAUAAGUGAACCAGGACUGAAUUGGGAUAUUUCCCCCAAAAAUGGCCUUAAGACAUUUUUCUCUCGAGAAAAUUAUAAAGAUCAUUCCAUGGCUCCAAGUUUAAAAGAACUACGUGUUUUAUCCAACAGAGAGAGCAGAGGAGUUAUGUGGACUUGUUGGUUAAAUACGCAAAGAUUCCUGCAAAUUCCAAAGCUGUUGGAAUAAAUAAAAAUGACUACUUGCAGUACUUGGAUAUGAAAAAACAUGUGAACGAAGAAGUUACUGAGUUCCU